UACGGAGGAUCCGAGCGUUAUCCGGAUUUAUUGGGUUUAAAGGGUGCGUAGGUGGGCCUGUAAGUCAGUGGUGAAAGUUUGCAGCUUAACUGUAAAAUUGCCGUUGAAACUGCCGGUCUUGAGUGCAAAUGAGGUAAGCGGAAUGUGUUGUGUAGCGGUGAAAUGCUUAGAUAUGACACAGAACACCGAUUGCGAAGGCAGCUUACUGGAAUGCCACUGACACUGAGGCACGAAAGCGUGGGUAUCAAACAGGAUUAGAUA
rnacentral:rRNA from 1 species